rnacentral:lncRNA from 1 species
UUGAUGAUUUAUUAAUUGAUAUUUUAUUUCAUGUCUAACUGCAUAUAGUUGUGAUACUUUUAGUGUUAGUGAUAUUUUUGCAUGCUUAUAUGUAGAUCACUAAUAUUAAUUGUUAAUAAUUUUCUGCGAGGAGUUGUGUGAGUUCACUUAUGUUUAAUGAUUAUCUGUAUAAGACUCGUGAACUUUUCUUCAACUUUCCCUCGGGCUUGCGAAUAUCUUUGUAUGAUUGUCAUGAUUUUAGUUGUUAUAUGCUCAUCUGAUAAUCAUAUGAUAUUGCGUAGGUAAUUAUUAUUUUAUCUUAGUUAAAUUGUGAUCCAUGACAAUUAUAUGCUUAUUUGUUUCAUGAUUGACUUUGAUAGAAUAAUAGAUGCAUGAUUAAUUCACAUUUUGAAUUAUUUAAUUGGUAUCUCUCUUUGAUGCUUUAUUGAUGUUUUAUUUGUGAAUUGAUUGUGAUGUAUUGGCACUGGUGAAAUAUUGUUGCAUAUUUCUUAAAACCAAUGGUGCUAAUAUAUUUUAGGUGUUUAAUAUUCUGAGUACAAGGGAGACAACAUAAUCUUUAUUCUGUCUCAUAUUUAUGUUCUGGAGUGGUGAGUUUCUUCAAAGAAAUUUUCUUAUCAAUUGAUUUCAACAAUUGGUAUCCACUACUCUAUUUCAUAAAUACUUCUUAGAAUAUUUUGCAUCUAUACAUGUAGCGUC